ACCAGCUAGCGCAUGGCUAGCUCAUUCUCAACUACCGUGAAUCAGGGAAAAAUUAACAGACAUCUGUAUUCUGAGUUUGGAACUCCUGGCUCAAAACUUUGUUGUUGAGGAUUUUUUGGUUUUUUAAAAAUUUUCUCAAGCAGCAAAAAGAGAGAGAAAGAGAAGAAAAAGGAGGAAGAGUAGGAAGAGGGAAUAUUGUCAAGCUCCUGGAAUAAUGCUCCCACCUAACAUAACAGGAUCUACCUAUUGGUCUACUUGACCAGUUACCACAUGUGAAGAAUUUUUGAUCAUUUUAUAUGCAUGAAGAAUCCUCUUUCUAAGAAUUUCCUGGAACAAGACAAACAAAUGUUACAAUAUCUCCUUUCUGGCCAAAGUGAAACUUGAAGAUGUAGAAAAAGUAAUGAUAACAAAGAGGUGGAAUAUGGACUCGAGACUGCAACUAUUAGAAAGAAUAGUUGCUUUUUUGCAUACCUGCCUUUGAGCCCUCUGUAUGUUGUAUUUACUGUUUACUCUGGAUAUGACAGAAAAAUGACAGGAUGGGUAAUCUUUCUCGGGACAAGUCUGACAGCAUUUUGCAUGAUGGACUGAAUUGGAGAGAAACUAGGAAAUAAGAAACCUGUAAUACAGCAGGGCAGCCUUGGAGGCUGGGGCUGGAUUCUGGCAGUGGGGACAAAGAGG
rnacentral:lncRNA from 1 species